rnacentral:lncRNA from 1 species
CGGAGUAAACGCUUGAGAAGGAGCGACCUCCCUCAAGCCAAAAACCCAAUGUGAGUAAAAUCCAAUCCUCAUUUGGAGGAUGCAUAGCCACUAGCCACAAUGCCACUAUAUCAAUGAUAGGUUUCUAUCUUAUCAUAUUUGCCACUCUCUAGGCUACUCUUGCCAUAAUGCCACUAGUGGUUAAACCUUGUGUCACGCCCCGGGACCGGCGGAGGCCCUCCCGGUGGCGUGCCCAGACCCGCCAUAUGUCUACACAUAUAAGGCGUCUACAAUAAAAGCGGAAGAAAAGCAAGAAAUAGAACAAAUAAAAGAAGUGAAAUAACCAGCAACUAAUGAUAUCAGAGCAAAUAUAGUUCUAGCAUCUACACCAAAGUAAGCAGAUAAGGAUAGACAAUAAAGGAAAUCAUAAGUAGUACAAUAUCUGUCUCUAGUACAAAAAUGGUGGUCUCUAUACAUAUACGGGUACAACUCUCAACCUCUCACAAAAAGAUAACACGAGAGGUAGACCACCUAUCGAACGAUCCCUCGGUAAGCACGCUAGCCCGAGGCGAUACCCUUUCCGCGAUCCCUGGCCUCUCCCUGAGUGGAAGGCUCUGAAAAACAUCGAGAAAAAGAGGGCGUGAGAACUAUAAUUUAUAGUUCCCAGUGGGCAAUUACUGACCUCAGCUCUUGCUCCACUAGGCCCCAAAAACAAGGGUAAGUAACGAUAAUAAUAAAAGCAAUAAGGAGCAUAUACAUAAACUGCUGAAAGAAAGCAUAAAUGAAAUGCUAGUCUACUGUGUCUCAAAUAAGCAUGAUGUCAACCAAAAUGUACAUCUAUUCUAUCAUUACAAUUAAGUCCAAUCACACUAGUUUAAUGUUGUUAACCUUUGUCAAUACAUGAUGUAGAAGUUCUAAUAUGGCAACCAAGUAUACUACAUGUCUCACACUAUGCUAAAAGCAUGUAAAUGUAACCCAACUACUAAGUCUAUCUAGUAGUGAUCAUUCAUCCUCAACCCCGUGUCGAUUUCCAUUUCCAAUUAGGGACCUACCCAAGGUAGUCCAGCUUGUGCCGCCUAAGUGCCUGUGGUAGCCCGACAUUCCUACUCUUGGAAUGUGUCUGUCCCACUCGACCCCGUAGGCUUCUCAAUACCGCACGAGCGAUCAAAAGUCGCGUAGGCUAACUCCGGAGUGCCGGCUUGUAGGGAGCGACCCUCACAAGCAUGUGCGAAUGAGCACAAAUGGCAAGCAAGCAUAGUCCAAGUCUCAAAUAUCCAAUCCUCAUGUCUCUAACAUGGUAUCAUAACUAGCAUCCCGAAGAUCUAGUCUAAGUCACAAUGUGAAGUUUCAACAUUUGCUACGCCUAGUGCCCCUUGAUGACACUUAGGCAAUUUGAUGUUCAACAUGUUUUCCAAAUCCCUCAAUGGCCCUAUCCACUAGGUUCUCACAAGUCCUGAGCUCAAUGCCGCUUGAUGACAUUAGCUCUCCAAUUCACAUGAUAUCAAGUUCGAUGCCUACAAUUGUAGCAAUUGUCAUCUUUCAUGUCCCAAUUAAACUUAUGUUUAAACGCAUGAAUCAUAGCUCAUUUACUCUCUAGAACCAUGAAAUCAAACCUCAUAUAGAAUGCUAAAUGCAACCAAAGAUCUCUCAAGCAACUCUCUACUACAUAGAGGUCCAAAAAUUCAUCAUAUAUAACUUAUGCAUUUUAAGCAUUCUAAAACUCAUAAUAAAUGUAUUUAAUAUGAAAAUGCAUGAAUUAUUAGUAAACAAAGCACUUAUCACCAAAUAUGAGAUUUUCUCAUAUUAUAGGCUAGGUCAAACCCACCGACGACAACGAAGCUUUUCGUUUGCUCCAACGGAGGUUUCUACAAGCUUUCUAGCACCCUAGGAACAUCAAAAAGAGUGUCAUCCAAACGAAACGAAGAGCGAAAAGCUCAAACAUUAAGCAUCUAGCAAAAUGGGCAAAACUCACCUCAAGAGUAGAAAUCUCUUCCUAUGCUCCAAAAGAGAGCUAGAACCCUUCCAAUCUAACCUAGAGGAAGGUUCUAAUCCAACCAAUCUAGCUCCAAAAGCCCUAGAAGCAAAAUGCCCAAAUAAACCCUAAAUUUCCAUUUCUAGGGUUUGAUCUACUACAAAGCAUCAAAACCAAAAUCUAGAGGAAAAGAAUAAGCCACCAACCUCUUAGAAGCCUCCAACAAGGUUCAAAACCCUCAAGGUCCAAGAAUCUCUCCUCCAACAAGCUCCAAACCCAAGCUCCAAUGGUGGAAUAGCCUCCAAAACCCAAAAAGGAGCAAAAAGAGGUGAUUAAUCUCUAAAAACCCAAGCAAAAUCAAGGAAAAGGAAUGAGGAGGUAUGGAGAGCUCCCUCACCUUUCUCCUUGCUGGUGCCAAGCUCAGGGAGAGCCCUAGGGGCGUGGGUGGCUAUAUAGAAGGCCACAAUCGCGAAAAACCCCCUGCAGUUCAAACUGCUCAGAAUCUGCACUGCGUACCGGUACACGGGCCCGCGUACCGGUACACCUUCUGCGAAAACGCCCAGCCCGAGCCUCGGGUUGGCUGAGAAGCGGCCAAAGUCGAUGGCUGUACCGGUACAGCCAUCACUCCCGUACCGGUACACAGCCCUCUGAAGGCAACCCGAGAGCUAACCAAAAAUCCGAUUUUUCGGAUUUUCGUGCUCGGCUUUAAACUUCACUUCUCGGGAUGCGAGCCAUAGGUCGGAACAUUGUCAACGACCCACCAGAAAAUCUGGAAUUGCUCAGCACACAGCUCGAACACUCGAAUUCGCAAUUUGCAAAGGUCCAGUGUGUUACACCUUGUUUAACAAUUCAUUUCUCAAUACCAAUCUCGUCUCUAUUGUCAAUAUCACCUUCGUUUACUAUUAUCAUAGUCCAAUGUCACAUUCACACAAGUAUAGGGUUCCACAUACAUGUCUCAUAUGGUUCUUUAUCAAUCACUAUGUUCAUCUACGUUAGAAGCAUAAUAUUGAAAUUCUAACCAUUAUUCACAUGCCAACUACCCUAUCAUGGAAGAAUAACACUAUUC